CUUGCAGGCUUGGAAUCCGUACAUCUUAAAUUCACAGUGCCCGCUGGUAACUAUUCCUUGGGUAAUUAGCACCUAAUAAAACUUUGUGGAACAAAUAUAGUUGUGAGACAGAGUAGCAAAUGUAAGAAGCUGCGUUUUCUCAAUUUGCUGGCCAGCAUAAUUUCAGAAAGCCCCUGACUCUGGUGGUGUGCAGUCUCCGGAGUGAUGCUUUGAAGACACAGCAGGAUAGAGCACGUGGCUCCCACAUCUCUUGCCUGAGUCACCGUAUUCCAGGAAAGCAAGAUCAUGUGCAACUCUAUAAUAUAGUAUUUUCUACAGAAAAAAAAGGAGUUCGUUGGAUAUGACUUGAUCGUGAUCAUUUCAGUGCCUGGACACUCAGCAGAAUGCUAGCCUUCUCUCUAAGAAGGUCCAUGUGGGAUUAGACACAGAUGCCUUAUCUGAGUUCCGACCUGCAGUCUGGCCCACCCAUCUGAAGGAUAACCAGGGAACCAGGGCAUGCUAGCCAUGUCCCAAGAUGGGAGAAGGCAGAGAACCAGUUCUAGGCCUGGCUCUUCUACCAACUGUCUGAGUGAACUAGGGCAAGUCACGGGGCCUCCUGAAGUCUCCUUCCCCAACCUCAGAACAAGUGUGCAUACCACUGAGGGCAAGUGGGGGUGGAGGGUGGACCUAGAAACACACUAGAGCAUCUGUGGUUUGAGGAUUCCUUUAAACUCAUUUAUGCGAUGGGUAAGAAGGAAGGCCCUCUUUCUCUAAACACACUUGCACACCCUUGACCUGUGUCCGAUUCUGGUGUGUCUCACACUGAACAAAGAAGCUUGGUUGCCACGGGCUGCCAGCCAAGACCCUCCCGGGGGAACCUCAGGUCCAAGAGAAGGGAAGCAGCUCUAGGGAAUGGGUGCUCGUUUUUACCCCAGAAAAAUCAAUGACUCUUUCUACGCUUCUGGGUCCUGGCCUGUCAAAUGUAGAAGCCAAGAAAACUCACCUUGCAAUGUUGUCACAGGGUGAACUGAGACAGAAGCACUUUGAGAAGAGGAAACUACCGUCACAAUGUCACUAUUGUUGUCAUUAGCUAACUGGAGUUCAGGAUAUAACAACAACAGAUGGUUUCUGCUUCCUUCUGAGGAGAUUACAAUCUUGGAAGCACAUGCACGAUAUUCACAUGAAAAUAGUUUAAAGGUAACUACUCCUGAAGAACAACAUCAUCCAAAACGUGCCUAAUCUAAGUCUAAUUUUCCUGUAGAGAAUCACAAGACAGAAAGGGAAUAUGUUCUCAGAGUGCGGAAGUCUGUAUUCGUGGCACAUUUGCUUUAAAGAUGCUUCAGAAAAAGUCCUAGCACAAUCUCUUUUAUUAUUUUGCAGUCUUUCUCCUAAAUUAAUGGCACUGUGGCUCACGGCCAGUGACAGGCCUUCUUCAUCUAGCACAUCUAAUGUCCCUUCAUACUACAGUUGCCCCUCGGUAUCCAGGGCUUUCACAUUCUCAGAAUCAACUAACCAUUGGAUGGAAGGUAUUUAAAAAGCAAACAAAAAAAAGAUGGUUUUGUCUGUACUGAACAUGUACAGACUUUUUCUUGCCAUUAUUCCCUAAACCAAACAGUAUAACACCUAUUUACCUAGGAUUUAUAUUGAAUUAGGUAUUAUAAUUAAUUUAGAGGUGAUUAAGUAUGUGGG